GGGGGUGAUCAGGUCUCGACAGGGUAAGGAUAAUAAUGCGUGCAAGGCUGUGUGAGUAGGCACAGCAAAACUACUCAAAACAUAAACGCAAACGAUGACGUUGAAAUUUUCGAGGAUUAUGCGCUUGCCGCAUAAAACUUGAGAGGGUUUUCCAGAUACCUUCCUAACCGAACAUCUGGAUUUGUUAAUUUAUAUAACUAUAUAUUUGCUACUUAAUGGCUGUCUAGGCCCAGAUCUAGACUAACCUUGUGAACGACGUAUUAUUUGAGAUGUUCUGGACGCGGGUUCGACUCCCGCCACCUCCACCA
rnacentral:tmRNA from 1 species